UACGGAGGGUGCAAGCGUUAUCCGGAUUUACUGGGUUUAAAGGGUGUGUAGGCGGGUCUUUAAGUCAGUGGUGAAAUCUCCGGGCUCAACCUGGAAACUGCCAUUGAUACUAUAGGUCUUGAAUUAUCUGGAGGUAAGCGGAAUAUGUCAUGUAGCGGUGAAAUGCUUAGAUAUGACAUAGAACACCAAUUGCGAAGGCAGCUUACUACGGAUUGAUUGACACUGAGGCACGAAAGCGUGGGGAUCAAACAGG
rnacentral:rRNA from 1 species